GUCCAUCCAGUUUAAUUCUGUCUUUGUUUCAGCAGUUUAGUCGCCGCCCUGUGAUUGGCUGAGACUGAUAAAUGCAGUGACAUGAAGGUCGUUUUUACCCAGAUAUAUAAACCAGGUGACGUUAACCAGGUGACGUUAACCAGGGGUGAACCAACAUCUCACAUCUCCGUCUCCUCCAGCAUCUGGUUCAUCUAUUAAUACUCACUGACCCACCAGCCCAGAAACACAACUUCCUGUCCCACAUAAACGCCGUUUCCCCGUCUGAACUUUAACUGUGGGGCUGGACUGGAGGCGUCUGUGGGGGGGUCUGUGGGGCCGUCUGUGGGGGCCGGGCCCUGAGGCCUAGUCAGUAAUGACUUCAUCAAGCAGACGGGGGGAGGGGGGUCUGACUGAAUCACCACCACGACCUCAGUCCACCUAAUGGUCAACAAGAAUUACUGUCAAAGAUCGUUUUAUGGUCGGUGCAGUCGCCGUCUUUACGAUAAUGGAAAGUACUUAGGAGGAAAUGGAAAAAAAAAAAAAAAAAA